rnacentral:rRNA from 1 species
GACGAACGCUGGCGGCGUGCUUAACACAUGCAAGUCGAGCGGAAAGGCCCUUUCGGGGGUACUCGAGCGGCGAACGGGUGAGUAACACGUGAGCAAUCUGCCCUGGACUCUGGGAUAGCCACCGGAAACGGUGAUUAAUACCGGAUAUGACACCUUGCUGCAUGGUGGGGUGUGGAAAGUUUUUUCGGUCCAGGAUGUGCUCGCGGCCUAUCAGCUUGUUGGUGCGGUAAUGGCUCACCAAGGCUUUGGCGGGUAGCCGGCCUGAGAGGGUGACCGGUCACACUGGGACUGAGACACGGCACAGACUCCUACGGGAGGCAGCAGUGGGGAAGAUUGGACAAUGGGCGGAAGCCUGAUCCAGCAACGCCGCGUGAGGGAUGACGGCCUUCGGGUUGUAAACCUCUUUCAGUACCGACGAAGCGUGAGUGACGGUAGGUACAGAAGAAGGACCGGCCAACUACGUGCCAGCAGCCGCCGUAACAC